GAUGAACGCUAGCGGCAGGCCUAAUACAUGCAAGUCGAACGAGAUUAAGAGGCUUGCUUCUUAUGAAAGUGGCGCACGGGUGCGUAACGCGUAUGCAACCUACCUUAAUCAGGGGGAUAGCCCGAAGAAAUUCGGAUUAAGACCGCAUAAAAACACAGGAUAGCAUUAUCCAUUGUUCAAAUAUUUAUAGGAUUAAGAUGGGCAUGCGUGUCAUUAGCUAGUUGGCGGGGUAACGGCCCACCAAGGCGACGAUGACUAGGGGAUCUGAGAGGAUGACCCCCCACAAUGGUACUGAGACACGGACCAGACUCCUACGGGAGGCAGCAGUAAGGAAUAUUGGUCAAUGGAGGGAACUCUGAACCAGCCAUGCCGCGUGCAGGAAGACAGCCCUCUGGGUCGUAAACUGCUUUUAUUCGGGAAUAAACCUUUCUACGUGUAGGAAGCUGAAUGUACCGAAGGAAUAAGAAUCGGCUAACUCCGUG
rnacentral:rRNA from 1 species